UAAUAACCGGGCCUCUGAGCAGGUGCAGUG
rnacentral:piRNA from 1 species